GCUAGUGUAGCUUAAUUUAAAGCAUGGCACGAAGAUGUUAGU
rnacentral:tRNA from 1 species